rnacentral:rRNA from 1 species
GCCAGAACGAACGCUGGCGGCGCGUCUUAAGCAUGCAAGUCGAACGGCAAGAGGUAGCAAUACCUCCUAGAGCGGCGGACUGGUGAGUAACACGUGGGUGACAUACCCUUCAGAUGGGGAUAGCUAUUAGAAAUAGUAGAUAAUACCGAAUACGAGCACAGGGGUUAGAGAUCUGUGAGGAAAGGAGCUAAGGCUCCGCUGAAGGAAUGGCCUGCGGCCCAUUAGCUAGUUGGUGAGGUAAGAGCCCACCAAGGCGAUGAUGGGUAUCCGGCCUUAGAGGGUGAACGGACACAUUGGGACUGAGAUACGGCCCAGACUCCUACGGGAGGCAGCAGCUAAGAAUAUUCCGCAAUGGACGAAAGUCUGACGGAGCGACGCCGCGUGGAUAGAAGAAGGCCGGAAGGUUGUAAAAUCCUUUUGAAACUGAAGAAUAAGCGUUGUAGGGAAUGACAGCGUGGUGACAGUUAGGUUUUGAAUAAGCAACGGCUAAUUACGUGCCAGCAGCUGC